GUUCUGGUGUGCUAUUAUUGAAUAGUAGAUAAUAAUAACUUAUUGUACAUAAAAGGAUUAGAUAAAAAGAGUUUUAAAGUUUUCACUAUAUAGAAAUGAUAAAUGUUUCAUGAGACAAAUCUGCUUAACUUGAUUUAAACAUUAUGCAAUAUAUACAUUUAUUGAAACAUAACAUGGCACCUCAUUAAUAUGUAUGAUUUUUGUGUUAGUUAAAAAAUAAAUUUAAAAAAUAAAAUAAAAUCCAAGGAAAACAUGGCAGGGGAAAAAAUUAAUUUAGGGCAGUAUCAUGCACAAAAAAAAUGUAAAAAAUUAUAAACAAACAGAGUAUUAGCUAAUGAAAUCCAGACUUGUUACAACUAAUUGGGAAUAAAUAGAGUGUCUUUUAGAUCUCAGCUCAAGCCACACUCUUCUGAGAGGCAUUUCCUGGCCCUUCCUCCCUUUUCUCACUCUUACCCAUAUCGUUUAUUUCUAGCAUGUAUCAUUAGCUUAAAUUCUCCUUUACUUACCUGCUUAUUGUCUGUGUCUCCCACUGGAACAUAAGCACCAUAAGAGCAGAAAUGCUGAUUUACCUUAAAGUUACUUUACUCGUUAACAUAAAACUCAGGCUAUUUGCCACUUUCAUCUUGUCCUAUUAUUAAGGGUUAAAGUUGCCCACUAGUAGGGGAGAUUUUGUGGGGAGGCGAUUUCUGUGUAGCCCCAACCAAGCGUGGAGUUGGCAGUGUCUUACCAGAGAUUGGAAUCUUAUGCGAUUCAUCAAAACUGUGCAGAGGAGCUGCUUUGGGCCUAAUGGGUGGAUUCCUGAAGGUAAUCUUUGCUGUUGGGGGGAUCAAUCCUCGUUCUAUCAUGUUUAAAAUCCCUAAGAAAGAAGAUUAACAGAAUUUGAGGUUAAUUAAGUCAUUUCACCAAGUGUGAUCUCUAUAAACUUCACAAGUGUAACUUACCAUUCGUCAUCUUAUUUGUAAGGGUACAGCUAGUGCCUUAAUCCUUUGCAUAAAAAAAUAUAGCUAGUAAGCGUUCAUUUAAGCUUAAUAUUCUAACCCAAGGAAAAUGUCAUUUCCAGUAGCAGUAAUAUGAAAUAAAAUUGCACGAAGGUAAUUUCAUUUUAAGGUAGAAAUAUAAUUUCACAGCAAACUAAAACUUCUUGUACUUAUGACAUUCUCAAUCAUUGGUAAUAUUGUUGCUCUUUUUAAAAUUCAGAGAAAUUGGGCACACAUUCUUAAUAACUAAGGAGAUUCUUUGUUUGGAAAGAAAGAAAAGAAAACCUGUAUGCUUGAAACCAUGCCCCUGUUGUUAAAAUCAGUCAUACUUUAUCAAAGAAGGAGUUAUCUCCAGACAUUUCUCAUUUCACCAGAAGAUAUGAAUGCUCCAAUGGGUUAUUUCAGUGUAACUGAGCAACCCCGUUAGUAUUAAUGCAACUAAUUUACAAUUCCUAGAACCCAUACUGUGUCAGCAAGGCUGGAGCCAAGCCUUUUUAAGGACAAGAGACAUUGUUAAAUAAGUAAGCAAAUGAAUAAAUCAAUGAAUAUAUGAAUAAUUGAACAAAGCCUGCUGCUGGGGGCAGAACUUUCAUUAAGGUAGAUCUAUUGUAUCGAAGCCAGAAACCCAGAAACUUGGGGACUAUUUGUAAUGAAUUUGUGGUAGGAUUUCAGUUUCUCACUGUUCUAUUACAUAAUAGAAAGGAAAAUUAGGAAUUCUGGAUCUCAACAAAUUCCUAGUAUACAAAUGGUAUACCAAGCUGGAUUAGUUGAAGGAGUUGUCACUCAUUCUAAGUAUUAUUUCCAUUUGCUUUAAGACCUCUGUGACUAUAUUUUUUUGCUUUUAAAGAUGUUAGUUUUGUGUUUCAGGAAUUCAGAAGAAUCAUCACAGAAGGGUUGGAGAGCUGAUGAGGACAUUGCUUAUCAAACAAUGAUUCCAGAGAGAAAUCUCCAGUUUACCUAGAGCAGUUCACUUGGAGGAAGAUUUUCGUACUGAAAGUGAAAAUUCCUGGGCCCCAUUUCAGAGUCGUCCUAAAGCUUGAGGUCAGGGCCUGGGGAUCUGCAUUAUUGGAGCCUCUAGGAAGUACUUAGGAACACCGAAGUUUGAGAACCACCAGAAUUGGGGCCCAGUAACAUAUGUGUUAAAUAAACACUCCAGGUCGAUCUUUCCUACUUCAAACUUAAGAACUACUGAUCCAGUGUACAACUCUUUAAACCCUCUUUUAAAGUAGUAAAAAGGUUUUAAUUUUUAUAACACUAGAACUGGUUGUAAUAUGUUCUUUAAAAUAGCAAUGAGGUAGGAUGGGAGACAUAAGGAGAGGCAAAAAGGGGAUCUGCAGGACAACACAAGAGUGCUAUGAUUUAAAGUCCACUUUCACUGGAUUAAAAGUCCAGAUUUAAUGGUCACUUUCACUUAUCUUGAUCACAAACAACCUAUUUAAUCAUUGAUGAGACCUCAUCCACAGGUACACCAAGAGAGUACUGUUCAAAGUCACAAAACAGAAUGCAUCAAAAACAAAAGAACCCCUAGUCAGUCAUGGUGAACAUGUCCAGUUACCAACACAAAGGGGAACUAAAAAUACCCUCUUCAGUCUGUACUAUAGAUUUUACGUGUAUGAAUUUGCCUCGCUAAGAUCGAGCUAGCAUUUCCCUUCCUAAUGCUGGCACUCCACCCUGUGUAGUGAUACUCUCACAGAGUGUAUUUCUCUCAAUAAAAUAAGUGUGUGCCUUUCUUUGAGCUGUUCCUGGAUUCCUUUCUGCAAGGACGUCAAGGAGCUUCAUGGCCUGAGUCAAGGUCCACCUCCCUUGGAGGAAACCUCCUCAGGCCCCCUGUCCCAGUGACAGCAACAUUAAUUGUUUGUCUUCACAAAUAUUUCCCACCUGUAAAUACCCAAUCUCUGCCUAAGAACUAUGCCUGUUUUGCAGAGGUGAGAAACAGAGCUCCUUAAAAAUCAUUAUACUUUAAAGAGUCAGUUUCAUUCUCUGAGAAUUUUGAAGAAUAUAAGUAUGAUUUUAAUCUUUGCCUUGGUACUGGGUGAAGCAAUUUAUUUAAUUUUAGACAAAUAUGUAUAAAUUCAUAACUGGAAGGAAGAAGUUAAGACUCUGAUAUAAGCAAAAGAGAUUAGGGGAUUUUUUUAAUGGAGACAUUGGAACUCUGAAGAUUACCUGAUGCUAUAGUGUUGUACUUUUGUUUAAACUGUCUAUAAUUCUGUAAAGAUGAAGGUUUAAAGUGUAGAUAUAUGAUAGCAAUGAAAAUAAUUUCUGUCUAUACACAUGUGAGUAAGUUCUGUCACAUGGAGGACAACUCUUCCAUCUGAGAAGCCAGUUUUGCAUCCAUUUGCAAAUUUAUUUCAAUAUUCUUGAUUUGUAAAUAUGUCUUAUUUGUAUAUUGUGAAUCAACUGUAACAUCUUACUAGUUGUCUCAUUUAAUUAAUGAGUUAAAUAUAGUUUUUGAAAUGUUCAAUUUAUGUAAGAGUCAUGACUUCACUUUUUAAAAAAAAAUCAUCCUUUAACAGGUUUGGAGGAUCCACUAAGAUAAGCCAAGAGUCACCAGAAGUCAUCAGAAAUGGUGUCACAGACACCAGCCCAGACACAUUUUUUUUUUCCUUGUCUCCCACAGGUGAAUUCAAAGUGGUGAUAGAACUUUGUUGAAAUUUGUUUUUCUAACUUUAAUUCUAUUCUCUAUUAUUUUGCUUUUCUUUUUGUUUCAUUUACAAAUGAGGAGUUAUUUCCUGUUGGUAGCUGCAGUGAUUGGAAAUUUGGAAAUCUCUGUAAAUGGAUUAAUGUAUUCUAGAGAUCUAUUUCCCUGCUGGGUGAAAAGCGAUAGAGAAUAGAUUUGGUUAGUGUUCAUCUAUUGUGAGUUAAAAUCAGUUAGGAAUAUAUGCCCAGGAGGAAGGAAAACAACUUUGAUACUGUAAUUCUGUAGUGUUCAGUUUUUGUAUUUGUGUUUACUUUUCAGCUGUGGCUGAAAUUGAAGAAUUUCAGGUGUACACGCCCUGGAUCUAUACGUGUGUGUAUGUGUCACUCAGAAAGCCCGUUACCCCUCAUUGUUAAUGUAGGAGGUUUUCUUAUUUCCAGAAAGCAUUCUUAAAUUAGAGCAUAAAAGCCUUAAAAGGAGCUCUGUUUUGACUGGCUUAUAGAGAUAAAUAAGGACAUACAAUAAAUUAAAUAUUCUUCAAAUUAUCAGAAAAUUAAACUUGUAAUUCUUUGAGCUCUCCCUGCCUCCCUCAAUUAGAAACUCUCAUUGAAUCUCCUUGCUUUUCAUGGCAACAGAGUAAUCUGCAUAGUUCCAAUAAGGAUCUGUUCUCCUUUUACAAAGAUAUAAAUGGAAAAAUCACUUAUGCAACCAAGGCCUUGCAUGGAAUAUUUGAGAAUGAUUUUUAUUUAAUCAUAAUGACGAGUCACUUAUAAAGGACUGAGGUUGACUUUCUGGUGCCAGUGUUAACAAAGUCCUCCCAGAAAAACUAGCGUGGUACACGGCUAAUAGGAUUUCCAUCGUGGUAAGGAAGGCCACAUCCUGCAAGCCCAAGAAGCUUGGGAUAUUUGAAACAGCUCUAAAUAGAAGACCCAAAUUUAUAGGUCCUUCAGUUGGAAUCUGGAGAACAAAAUUUCUUGGCCUUGACUUACCAACCUUAGGAUAGCAAAUAAUAAAUGAUUUUAGAAGUUCAGUCUGAGAUUCCUUAUGAAAGCUUUCAGCAAAAUAAGCUUUAGGUGUCCUAAACAGUAAUUUAACAUUCUUGCUUCCUCAGUGCAAAUAACCCAGCCAAACCUAACGAGACCAGCCUUAUUUUGUGAAUAAUUUUGUUUGAGAUAAUUUGAAAGAAAGAAGUAAAGAUGAUAAACAAGUUUUCUUUUUAAGUCUUGAAAUAAUCAAGAGAGAUACUGGAUGUACAACUAUAAUGAGAUAUCACAAUGUACAACUAUAAUGCACCAAUAAAAAAUGUGGGGAAAAAUAAUAUUAUUAAAAAAAAAGAAAAAUAUUGAAUACAUUUCAAUGGAAUGCUGGUAUCUCCAGCAAUUGUCUGAACUUUGGUAUUGACUAGGCUAUUUUACAACUCUGUAGAUACUAAGGUUAAUUUGAAAAACAAACAAACAAACAAAAAGUGAACAAUAAUGCAAAUAAAUCUUAUCUACAUUCAUGAAAAUAAAAAUCUUUGGUGAAGGAUUCUCUCUCACAGAAAAGCCAAUUUUGCAUCUAUAUGCAAAUUUAUUUCAAUAUUCUUGAUCUACAAAUGUGUCUGUUCUUUGAAUUCUCCUUUGAACCAAUUGUGACUUUUAUAGAUUUCCUCUUUUAAUUGAUGAGUUAAAUAAAAUCUCUGAUAUAUGUUUAUUUUUAUUUGGGA
rnacentral:lncRNA from 1 species